UAGGCCGUCUUAGGCUCCGCCUGCCUGAGGUUCCACACGCCUAAGGCUCCGCCCACCUCGGUCCGCCAGCGUAAGUCGCAGCGGCCGCGAUGGCGGCGCUGGGAGGUAGGAAAACGGCCUGAAUCGAGCCGCGUCGCCCUCUCACCUCGGGUUGUGGCUUAGGUUCAGCGCGAUCCAGGGUACGAAGCGGUACCUGUAACGGCGCCAUCGCUGCCAGAGGCCCCGCAUCAGGCGGCCCGGCAUGGCUGUACCGUGGCGCCUUGACGAGGACGGCGCGGGAGAGGUGGGUCGCGGUCUCGGGCCCGCCCCGACCGAGGAGGAGCGGAGGCCGCGCCGUCCCGCCCCUUCGUGGUCUCAGCCCUCUUCGCUCCGCUUGGCUGUCCUGGUACCCCUUGGCUCCAGUUGCCGCUUCUCCGUGCCUCCGCUCUGUUGAUGCCAGCUCGCUGAAACAGAGAAAUGUAUUGUCUCAUAGUUCCAGAGGCUUGAAGUCCACAAUCAAGGAUCAAGGUCCUGGCAGGGCUGGUUCCUUCUGAUGGCUGUGAGAACCUAUUCCACCCUCUAUACUAGCUUGAAACACUGUUGCAGCCCGAUUUCCCUGCUGUGAGAAAGAGAUGCCAACAGCCCCCAGCUGUUCCAGCUGAAGCACCAGACAGGGGAGUGAAGUAGCCGUGGACAUUCCAGCAUCUGCAGAUGCCACGGGAAGCAGACAUGAGCCACUCCUGCUGAGCCCUGCCCUGAGAGCUCCCCCAAGAGCCGACGAAAACACUAACUCAACACAGAAGACACUCCAACCGAGAGGCUCAAACCGCAGUCGAUCUGACUCCGAAGCCUGUGCUGAUCUGGCAGGUCACUGUCAAGUCUGAUUCUGU